UACGAGGGGAGCAAGCGUUGUUCGGAUUUACUGGGCGUAAAGCGCACGUAGUCGGCUUUGCAAGUCGGGUGUGAAAUCCCCGGGCUCAACCUGGGAACUGCAUCCGAGACUGCAUUGCUAGAGUAUGGGAGAGGGAAGCGGAAUUUCUGGUGUAGCAGUGAAAUGCGUAGAUAUCAGAAGGAACAUCAGUGGCGAAGGCGGCUUCCUGGACCAAUACUGACGAUCAGGUGCGAAAGCGUGGGGAGCAAACAGG
rnacentral:rRNA from 1 species